CUACGGGCCGCACCAGUGGGGAAUAUUGCACAAUGGAGGAAACUCUGAUGCAGCAACGCCGCGUGGAGGAUGACACUUUUCGGAGCGUAAACUCCUUUUAUAUAGGAAGAAGAUGACGGUACUAUAUGAAUAAGCGCCGGCUAACUCCGUGCCAGCAGCCGCGGUAAUACGGAGGGCGCAAGCGUUACUCGGAAUCACUGGGCGUAAAGAGCGUGUAGGCGGAUUAAAAAGUCAGAAGUGAAAUCCUAUAGCUUAACUAUAGAACUGCUUCUGAAACUCUUAAUCUAGAAUAUGGGAGAGGUAGUUGGAAUUUCUGGUGUAGGGGUAAAAUCCGUAGAGAUCAGAAGGAAUACCGAUUGCGAAGGCGAUCUACUAGAACAUUAUUGACGCUGAGACGCGAAAGCGUGGGGAGCAAACAGGAUUAGAUACCCGCGUAGUC
rnacentral:rRNA from 1 species